CCUUUUCCGUUUUCUCUGAUCUCGGUGGCAGGGAUUUUCAGCAAAUGCCCUAACCCUCUCUGUAGGGGGCUCACGUUCACCAUUUCCAGGGUGAGUUCAUCUCUGUGUAACUCGUCCUUACCUGGAGUGACUGGGUGUGUGAUCUAUUCUCACCAUUCCUGGGGUGAUCUCAUCGAUGUGUGAUGCAUCUUCACCAUUCCUGGAGUAACCUCAUCCAUGUGAGAUACAUCCUUAUCAUUUCUGGGGUAACCUCAUCUAUAUGUGAUCUACCCUCCAUUCCUGGGGUGACCUCAUCUGUGUGGCACACAAUGUGAUUAUAAAAAGACAAAGAGGCAUGACUUCCUCACCUCAUCUAUGUGUGAUCCAUCCUUGACAUUCCUGGGGUGACUGGGUGUGUGAAGGUCUAACUCCACCUCCACCCCACCCCCACUCCAGACCUCUUGGACCAGCCAGCCAUAUUAUCAGGGGACGUAAUUAAUGACAUUUGACCUUGCAUCCCAGUUGGAAAGCAUUCAUGCCUUACCUUCAUCCUUCAUCAAACAGCUCAAGCCAGUUGCUACUAGAGUUGAGGGUCCCUAGGGUGGAGUAGACAUCGUUCUCUUUUUAUGCUUUUAAAUAUUGGUAAGUGCCCUGAACUAGUCUUAGGUCAACUUGACACAAGCUAGAGUCAUCUGAAAGGAGGGAAUUUCUAUUGAGGAAAUGCCUCCAUGAGAUCCAGCUAUAGGGGAUUUCCUUAGUUAGUGAUCAGUGGGGGAGGGCCCAGCCCACUGUGUUCUAACCCUGGGCUGAUGGUCCUGAGUUCUAUAAGAAAGCAAGGUGAGCAAGCCAUGAUGAGCAAGCCAGCAAGCAGCACCCCUCCAUGGCCUCUGCAUCAGCUCCUGCCUCUGGGUUCCUGCCCUGUUUGAGUUCCUGUCCUGACUUUCUUCGAUGAUGAACAGUGAUGUGGAAACAAUAAUAAAAACAAACCUUGGGGCCUAACCAAGCAGUUGAUGGGAUCUGAGGACGGAACUCAACUUGCAAGUUGGUUGCUGGGGGCUGGGAGAGUGUAUGCAACCCUGGGAUUCAUCCCCAAUACUGCAUUUAACCUGAGUGCACAGCCUGGGUGUGGAGGAGCAGAAGUUCAAGGUUGUUUGAAGGAGAAUGACUCCAUAGGCUCAGAGAUUUGAAUGCUUGGUCACCAGGGAAUGGUGCUAUUUGACAGGACUAGAGGGUGUAGCCAUGUUAGAGGAAGCAUGUCACUGGGAGUGGCCUUUGAAGAUGAGGAUGUCGCUGCAAGCUCCUUCUCUAGCCCCAUGUCUGCCUGCCAGCUGCCUGCCUGCUCCCACCACGAUGAUGAUGGACUGAACCCCUGAAACGAUUCUUCAGCCAGGAAAAAAUAGCAGCGAAGGAGAGAGAGAGAAAUCCUUCCCUGGUGAGCUGGAUUCCUUGAAGUUGCAGACUAUGAAAAGCGGGAUGCAGUGGUUCAAGAUGUGAACUCCCAGCAUCCUGGUCCAUAUGCCUGCCUGCUUGCUGUCUCUUCCGUGCCUUUAUGGGUGCUAACCCUCUGGGACCACAAGACAACAUAACAACAAGACCGUCUUCCUUAAGAUGCCUUGGUCAUGGUGUGUCUUAUCGCAGCGGCAGAAAAGUACUGAAUACAAGGGACAACCCGACUGUGUGUUUGCGCCAAGCGAUCUCGUAGACACGGGCCAGUCUAUGGACUAACUGCCCUUGUGCAUCUAUACCUAUCACUGUCAGAGCACAGAAGAACGAGCCGCGGUGAACAGUGAAUGUCUUGGGGAACUGUGGGAAAGGCUCCAGGAGAAAAGGCAGAGGGCCUUUUAUCUCAGGGGUGUCUUGUUUCCUGGAUUGUUCUUGGACGUGAUUUUGUGCUUCCUGUGUUAAACAUUGACGUUCAAGCCGUAAGGCAUGUUUAUUCUUGUUGGAUGUCUGGACAUAGCUAUAGAACCCAAUCUGGUCAGUGUACCCUGAAUGUGGAUGUGGCCUUCUGCCUUGCUUUUGUGCUUUCCCAGGUAGAGUCUACAGUACUUUCCAGGUAAUUGUGUUUAAACUGGUCUGACCUGAGAAAGUUCUGGGAAAGAGCUGCCCUGUUAAUAGUAUGAGCUUACUGGUGCUAAUUUGCAUAUUUUUCUGAUCACUUUUUUUUUUUUCAAAACUCAAACAGCCUUCCUUGGAUCAUUCCUUUCUUUGUUACAUUGUGUAUAAAAGGACACAGAAACUGAAGUAAGGUUGUCUACAGCAUCACACUCUAGUCCGCCCGUUCUUUCAGGUCUUCAGCGUCAGGUCCAGCAGACAAGAUCUGCACAGGUUGAUGCAAACUGACACAGGAUUACCUCUCUUCUGUUUAUUUUGGUUUUAUUGUUUGAGAUCCAGUCUCCCGUGGUCCAGGCUGGCCUUGAACUAGAUAUACAGCUAAGAUGAUCCUCCUGCCUCCACCUCCCAAGAGCUGGGAUUGCAGGUGUGCGCCUCUAUUCCUGGUUUAUGCAGCACUGGGGCGUCAAUCCAGGACAACAUGCUUGCUAGGCAACAUGCAUGCUAGGCAAGAACUAUACCGACUGAGCUACACCCCAGCCCUCUGUAUCCAUUUUUUUUAAAAAACCAUCUGGAGAAACAAGUUGGGGGAAUAAAUUACAUAGGAAUUUG
rnacentral:lncRNA from 1 species